rnacentral:rRNA from 1 species
UACGUAGGGUGCGAGCGUUAAUCGGAAUUACUGGGCGUAAAGGGUGCGCAGGCGGCGUCGCAAGUCAGGCGUGAAAUCCCCGGGCUUAACCUGGGAACUGCACUUGAAACUACGAUGCUGGAGUAUGGCAGAGGGAGGUGGAAUUCCACGUGUAGCAGUGAAAUGCGUAGAGAUGUGGAGGAACACCGAUGGCGAAGGCAACCCCCUGGGCUGAGAUUGACGCUCAGGCACGAAAGCGUGGGGAGCAAACAGG